rnacentral:lncRNA from 1 species
GGCAGCACCUGGUGGGUAUAUUUCACUCUGUCCGCCAUAAGACUUGGGAAGCUGAGGUUCUAAAUCCAUGUGUGGACACACCGUAACCUACACAGCUUGUGUUCACAGCUUGUUGUGAACUUGUGUUCAGCUCCCGCACAGCGCUGCUUGCAGCUGGGCGAGUUCAAGGCAGGAGGCAUAGCCCAAGCAGUGCUGGCUGCCUUUCCCAGUGCUGGCACUCAGGUGGAGAUGCUGCGUUUGCAGACAUUUCUGCUUCUGCUCAAUCUGCAGUUUGAAUGAUGAAUGUAGAAUGUAGAAUGAUCUACAGUUGAUGAAUGAUUCAAUAAGGAAUUAGGCAAUGUCUCCAGAUCAGCUGCCCUUGUCCCUAAGUGGGUGGGUGACUUUGGGUUGCCAGAUGUCAGCAGGGAAGGAUAAGGAGCAGACACAAACAGGUCCAGGAAAUUCCUAAAGCACCUUGAUGAUAACUUCUUGAUCCAGGUACUAAGGGAGCUGACUCGGAAAGGUGCCCUUCUAGAUUGCUGCUUGUAAACCGAGAAUGUCUCCUGCGUGAAGUGGCAAAUGGCAGCCAUCUUGGCUAUGGUGGCCACAAAGACGUCGAGCUUAAAAUCUUUGGCGGUAGUAAGAAAACUGUGAGCAAAACUUCCACCCUGGACAUGGGGGGAGCAGACUUCAGGCUGGGCAAGGAACUAGUUCAUAAGACUCCCUUGGGAAUCUGCUUCUGAAAGUAUCAGGGACCUUCAGUGCUGGUCCCUUUUCAAGAGCCAUCUCUUGAGCGUGCAGGAGCAGGCUAUUCCCAAGUGUCGAAGUCAAGUGGGCAGGGCAGAAGGCUGGCUUGGCUGAGCAUGGAUCUUCGCUUAAAGCCUAGGUGAAAAACAAAAGUUGUGUGGAUACUGGAAACGAGGUCAGGCAAUGCAGGAGGAUUGCAGAGAUGCUGUUCACCAUUGCAGGGAGAAAAUUCAUGUAGCCAGAGCCGAGUAAGGGUAGAAGUUGGUCACUACUGUGGGGAGUCCCAGUCCUGCUGAGAACACCCGUAAUAGCCCUGCUAUCUUCAUCGAGCUCUGAGGACAGCAUAUCCGAGGAUGCCAGUGAGACGACAGCCGGACUUCAACCACUGAGUUCAAAAUCAAGAAGACUGCAGAAGUUAGAGGCUGAAAAGUUCUGGCCAGUUCCGCAAGAACCUCCAGAGAUGAUGGCGUUGGCAUCUAAUUCUGAGGCCAGCAGUCCCGAGGAGCCCAGCACCACCUCUGUGUUGGUGGCAGUGACACACAAGGGGGCCAGGUCCAAGCAGUAUCAACCACCAAAGACCAGACC